AACUCUUGACAUCCAGAGAAGAGGCUAGAGAUAGCUUUGUGCCUUCGGGAACUCUGAGACAGGUGCUGCAUGGCUGUCGUCAGCUCGUGUUGUGAAAUGUUGGGUUAAGUCCCGUAACGAGCGCAACCCUUAUCUUUAUUUGCCAGCACAUCAUGGUGGGAACUAUAAAGAGACUGCCGGUGAUAAACCGGAGGAAGGCGGGGACGACGUCAAGUCAUCAUGGCCCUUACGACCAGGGCUACACACGUGCUACAAUGGGAAGGACAAAGGGUUGCUAAGCCGCGAGGUGGUGCUAAUCUCAUAAACCUUUUCGUAGUCCGGAUCGGAGUCUGCAACUCGACUCCGUGAAGUCGGAAUCGCUAGUAAUCGUAGAUCAGAACGCUACGGUGAAUACGUUCCGCGGGUCU
rnacentral:rRNA from 1 species